rnacentral:pre_miRNA from 1 species
AAUCUAGUGGAAACAUUUUUUCACAAACUAAACUAUUGAAACCAGCGUGCAGAAGUGCUUCUGCUACAUU